GUGUGUGGCUUAGAAAAUCGUCUUCUUUGAGUGUGUUCAACAUUCUAGAAAAUGGAACGUGGUCAGAAGAAGGGCCUUGCUGUUUCAGCACAGCAGAGAGCUACAACAUCCCCCUCCCUUUGCAAUGCAACAGCUGGGCCCACGUCCUUCCUGGGACUUCUGGGAAUGGAGAAGCUGCUACAGCCUGAGGUCAGCAAAGUCUUAGGAUCAGGAGGACAUGAGCGGCAGUUUAUCUGUAUUUAACAGGGGCUGGUGUCUGAGUUUACCUGGCUGGCAGUCCUGGAUACCGGCGACUACAUCAACACACGAGUUUCUUGGAUUAAGAAUUCAGCCUCCCAUGUUAAGAUCCAGAGAAUCCAGCUAAAUUCAGUGAUUCUUCCCCGAGCUCCCCACAAAAGUGCCUCAUUUAGCAUUUCAAUAUAUAGAAUUGCCAAAGAGUGAUGCUUUCUGUUUGAAGUUGCCGAGCGAGGCCCAGCACCUCCUUUGCUGAGGCACCCUAGCACCCAGAGAAGCACAGCUGCAGAACCACUGGACCAGGUCAUCUUUAAGGUGGGCGUGGAGGAGGAAAAGCAGUCAAUGAGGAGCCAGACAGAAGCCUGGAGUGUUGCACUCAUGGCCGUUCCUCCUGAUAGGAACCGGAGUAAGUCAUGGAGGCCAAGAUGUUGCCUUUCCAGCCACCAUCGAGAAUAAAGGCUUUCUGUUUUCCUGACCUGCCAUCUCACCCUUCCCUUCCACCCUGAGGUUAUUCAAGGAAUACGGACUUUGACCCACACGCUUUUGAAGGCUGCAACACCAGAGAAGAGAAGGGAGUCCAGAACUGACCUGGGAGUGUGGAGAUCCAGAUUUAGAACUCAGCUCAGCUCCUCAUGAAGUGUGAUCAUGGGAAGAUCCUUUACCCUCAAUUCGUCUAAGGUUUCCCCAUCCUAGAAAUGGUUCUCACUGCCCCCUAUUCUUUUCUUUCACAACACUUAUCUCAAUUGUCAUCAUCUCAGGUCUGAUUCCUGCUCUAGGGUUGGUGGGUAAGGGCACAGAUGGGCUCUGGAGCUACCCUGCCUGGCUUCCAGCCCUGGCUCCACCACUUGCUAACUUAUUAAAGUUAUUUAGUCGCUUUGUGCUUCAGUUUCCUCA
rnacentral:lncRNA from 1 species